CACGCGGGAGGCCCGGGUUCGAUUCCCGG
rnacentral:piRNA from 6 species